GACGGACGCUGGCGGCGUGCUUAACACAUGCAAGUCGAACGGAAAGGCCCUGCUUUUGUGGGUGCUCGAGUGGCGAACGGGUGAGUAACACGUGAGUAACCUGCCCUUGACUUUGGGAUAACUUCAGGAAACUGGGGCUAAUACCGGAUAGGAGCUCCUGCUGCCUGGUGGGGGUUGGAAAGUUUCGGCGGUUGGGGAUGGACUCGCGGCUUAUCAGCUUGUUGGUGGGGUAGUGGCUUACCAAGGCUUUGACGGGUAGCCGGCCUGAGAGGGUGACCGGCCACAUUGGGACUGAGAUACGGCCCAGACUCCUACGGGAGGCAGCAGUGGGGAAUAUUGCACAAUGGGCGGAAGCCUGAUGCAGCAACGCCGCGUGCGGGAUGACGGCCUUCGGGUUGUAAACCGCUUUCGCCUGUGACGAAGCGUGAGUGACGGUAAUGGGUAAAGAAGCACCGGCUAACUACGUG
rnacentral:rRNA from 1 species